AUUUAUCUAGAGAAAAUGGAUCUGGGCAGCCAAAGAUUUUUUUCCAUUGAUUGUCAUAUAUCAAGUUAGACUUCCUAAUAUUUAUUUUUCCCCUGCAGUUUGUUCAGUGCAAACUCCAGGUAUUAAAAAAAUGAAUAUGUGAAUUCUACCACAGAGGAAAGAGGUUUGGGUUCUCUCAUAUUUAUCAUAUGAGAUUUGCGCUAGAUUUCACUUUUGGGAAAUAUGAAGCCAUGUUGGGAGUCAAAUAUGACAUCUAUUAUUGUCAAAGCCUAUAGAUAUAUGUAGCUUGAAUGGCGAGUUAUGCAGUUGUGGAGCACUUAUCAUUUUGCUAAGAAUCAAGUGUUCUUCAAAAGUCUAGCAGUGUGCUGUAUUGAACCCGCCUAGCCUUCAAUUAUGUGAAGGCUAUCGCCAAUGAACACCUCCCUUAUGCUGUAA